rnacentral:tRNA from 1 species
GACGAGGUGGCCGAGCGGUCUAAGGCGCUAGAUUCAGGGCUACCUGAGGUUACUCAGGAGAAGCUUCUAGUCCGAAAGGGCGUGGGUUCAAAUCCCAUCCUCGUCA